rnacentral:lncRNA from 1 species
GAUUCGAUAAAGGAUCCUAGACUGAUAUCACUGUGAUCAUCCACUAUCCUGAUCUCAAUCUUAAUUUUUAUAGAAGAUCCAUCGUUGAUAAUGCUUAUCAUAUCAUAUUUGAAUUUAUUAGAUUUUUGAUCAACUGAUCAGGAUAUUAGGAUUUUAUCUACUUAGGCUAUUAGACAUCAUUGUCCGAGCAAUUGUAACUUUUCUCUCUUUUAAUUUUUUCAUCAUGGCCAUAUUUACUUUAUAAUUUUUUCUGAUUAUUGAUAUCGGCUACGUUUGAGUACAAUGAACUGGGCA